GGGGGGGGGGGGGGGGGGGGGGGGGGCGGGGGGGGCGGGCGGGGGGGCGCGGCGGGGGGGGGGUGGUGGCGUGGCGACGGGGGGGGUAGCCCGGGGGUGCCGUGCCCCGUACUUUGGGAUAGCGUCAGGCCGCUUGGGCGGGUGGCGGAUGGUGACUCCCUCGUGAGUGGGAGGGUGUGGAGAUUUCGGCGGUCGGGGAUGGCCUCGCGGCUUUUCAGCUUGUUGGUGGGGUAGUUGUUUUCCAAGGCGUUGGCGGGUAGCCGGCCUGGGAGGGUGACCGGCCACAUUGGGACUGAGAUACGGCCCAGACUCCUACGGGAGGCAGCAGUGGGGAAUAUUGCACAAUGGGCGGAAGCCUGAUGCAGCAACGCCGCGUGCGGGAUGACGGCCUUCGGGUUGUAAACCGCUUUCGCCUGUGACGAAGCGUGAGUGACGGUAAUGGGUAAAGAAGCACCGGCUAACUACGUG
rnacentral:rRNA from 1 species